rnacentral:rRNA from 1 species
AUUGAACGCUGGCGGCAUGCUUUACACAUGCAAGUCGGACGGCAGCACAGAGAAGCUUGCUUCUUGGGUGGCGAGUGGCGAAACGGGUGAGUAAUAUAUCGGAACGUACCGAGUAAUGGGGGAUAACUAAUCGAAAGAUUAGCUAAUACCGCAUAUUCUCUGAGGAGGAAAGCAGGGGACCUUCGGGCCUUGCGUUAUUCGAGCGGCCGAUAUCUGAUUAGCUAGUUGGUGGGGUAAAGGCCUACCAAGGCGACGAUCAGUAGCGGGUCUGAGAGGAUGAUCCGCCACACUGGGACUGAGACACGGCCCAGACUCCUACGGGAGGCAGCAGUGGGGAAUUUUGGACAAUGGGCGCAAGCCUGAUCCAGCCAUGCCGCGUGUCUGAAGAAGGCCUUCGGGUUGUAAAGGACUUUUGUCAGGGAAGAAAAGGCUGUUGCUAAUAUCGACAGCUGAUGACGGUACCUGAAGAAUAAGCACCGGCUAACUACGUG